ACGGGAGGCAGCAGUGAGGAAUAUUGGUCAAUGGACGCAAGUCUGAACCAGCCAUGCCGCGUGCAGGAAUAAGGCCCUAUGGGUCGUAAACUGCUUUUGUGGUGGAGCAAUAAGUCGUACGUGUACGACGAUGAGAGUACAUCACGAAUAAGCAUCGGCUAACUCCGUGCCAGCAGCCGCGGUAAUACGGAGGAUGCAAGCGUUAUCCGGAUUUAUUGGGUUUAAAGGGUGCGUAGGCGGAGGAUCAAGUCAGUGGUGAAAUGGUGCGGCUCAACCGUAGCAUUGCCGUUGAAACUGGUUUUCUAGAGUGCGAAUGAGGUGGGCGGAAUGUGUCAUGUAGCGGUGAAAUGCAUAGAUAUGACACAGAACACCGAUUGCGAAGGCAGCUCACUGGGACGCAACUGACGCUGAGGCACGAAAGUGCGGGGAUCGAACAGGAUUAGAUACCCUGGUA
rnacentral:rRNA from 1 species